rnacentral:rRNA from 1 species
AUUGAACGCUGGCGGAAUGCUUUACACAUGCAAGUCGAACGGCAGCACGGACUUCGGUCUGGUGGCGAGUGGCGAACGGGUGAGUAAUACAUCGGAACGUGCCCAGUCGUGGGGGAUAACGUAGCGAAAGCUACGCUAAUACCGCAUACGAUCUAAGGAUGAAAGCGGGGGAUCGCAAGACCUCGCGCGAUUGGAGCGGCCGAUGGCAGAUUAGGUAGUUGGUAGGGUAAAGGCCUACCAAGCCGACGAUCUGUAGCUGGUCUGAGAGGAUGAUCAGCCACACUGGGACUGAGACACGGCCCAGACUCCUACGGGAGGCAGCAGUGGGGAAUUUUGGACAAUGGACGCAAGUCUGGUCCAGCCAUUCCGCGUGCAGGAUGAAGGCCCUCGGGUUGUAAACUGCUUUUGUACAGAACGAAAAGGCUCUGGUUAAUACCUGGGGCUCAUGACGGUACUGUAAGAAUAAGCACCGGCUAACUACGUGCCAGCCGCCGCGGUAAGAC